rnacentral:lncRNA from 1 species
ACCAAAGCGGUAUCUAGACAAGACUAUUAUUAUUUGUCGACGAGAAGUCAAAACAUCCACAAAAACUAGAGGGGAAAAGAAAAUAAAUUUACCAAAUAAAGCCCACUGCUGUACGGCCAAGGCGGAUGUACGGUACAGCAGNNNNNNNNNNNNNNNNNNNNNNNNNNNNNNNNNNNNNNNNNNNNNNNNNNNNNNNNNNNNNNNNNNNNNNNNNNNNNNNNNNNNNNNNNNNNNNNNNNNNNNNNNNNNNNNNNNNNNNNNNNNNNNNNNNNNNNNNNNNNNNNNNNNNNNNNNNNNNNNNNNNNNNNNNNNNNNNNNNNNNNNNNNNNNNNNNNNNNNNNNNNNNNNNNNNNNNNNNNNNNNNNNNNNNNNNNNNNNNNNNNNNNNNNNNNNNNNNNNNNNNNNNNNNNNNNNNNNNNNNNNNNNNNNNNNNNNNNNNNNNNNNNNNNNNNNNNNNNNNNNNNNNNNNNNNNNNNNNNNNNNNNNNNNNNNNNNNNNNNNNNNNNNNNNNNNNNNNNNNNNNNNNNNNNNNNNNNNNNNNNNNNNNNNNNNNNNNNNNNNNNNNNNNNNNNNNNNNNNNNNNNNNNNNNNNNNNNNNNNNNNNNNNNNNNNNNNNNNNNNNNNNNNNNNNNNNNNNNNNNNNNNNNNNNNNNNNAUGGAGUAAAUCAUGGCCAUCGGAUUAAAAAUAGUUUGGACGCUCAGGAUUGCGCCACGUCAUCAGUCAACAGUCCACGGUUUGACCACGCGGAUGAACAGUAACACGGUUUGACCCGACUUUGAAUAGUAACGCGGUUUGACCCGGAUGAACAGUAAUGCGGUUUGGUUGAAAAUAAUCCUGUGUGAUGCAUGUACCGUACGCGAGAUUUUUCGUCCACUGAUAUGCUGCCACGUCACCAUCAACAGUACAUAAGAAUUUUAGUCCAACAGGAUCGUGACACCUCAUCAGUCAAUGCCACGUCAUCAAUCCGUCUAUGUGAACAGUGCCGUGAACAGUAACGUACACAGUCCUGUGUACGUGAAUAGUACCGUACAUGUGAAUAGUGUCAUUUUUCCUUUUAUGGUCCUCCUAAGGUUUUCGACCGUCCUGAGUUCAAAAGUGAUGUCCGUUUUGCCGUCUGAUCUCUCCUUUAUUGUGAAAUGACUAUAAUGCCCCUAGAAUACAUAAAUUACUUAAUUAAAAUAAAACACACGUAAUUAAAUCAUAAGAAUGUUAAAUACAUAAAAGUAAGGGUUGUUAGUAAGACUUAAAAUGUAAAAUGACGGUUUUCUCCUUUAUAAAUAUGCAUUUUCUAACACUCAACAAGAAGCAUGUUGAUUGACUGUGAUAGUUAUGAAAUAAAACUCUGCUCCAAUAACUUAAGUUGCUGAGUAACUAGAUCUGAGUAUGCACCCCAUAUGCAGAAGUGUGUAAAAAGACAGCGAGAGUUAUGAGCAGUGCUGUAGUAUAUAUAUCUAAAAAAAAAAAGAAAAGAUCUCCACAUAUCUAAGGCAUAUGUCCGCUGUCUAAGGCAUUGAGUAACCAGGUCUGUUCAUGAGCCCCAUGUUCAGCCUUGAGUCAAAGAUAUCUUGAGAUAAAACUAUACCACAGAUAUUGCUGCAGCAACUCUGAUCUGGGCAUUGUUUGAGUAAUUGGGUGUCAUCAUUACAAGUGAUCGACAUUCACAUGAAAAAUAAAUGUUACAGUAAGGAGGUUGAUUAUCCCACAGAGUGUCAAAGUUAAAGCUAUUACAAUUUGAAUAUGUGGAAUUUAUGCUACCCCUUGUAAGAAUGAAGUAUAUCACUGCUGAAAUUUCGGCAGUCCUUUAGUAAUGUUACAGCAUAUCGGGAAUUCAAUCACAAAGGCAGCACACACACACUAAGGAUAGAAAGACGCUUAAGUCUAGAACUGAUCUACUAUGGGCAUUUUGUAUGAUUGGGAUUAUAAUCUGAAGGUGGAAGAAUAUGUGCAAGUUUGAUAAAAGAACUGAAGAUUGUGUGCAUGUUUGUUUGUGGGAAAUGUUGGUAUGUGUCAUUACUUGAGGACAAGCAAUAAUUUAAGUUUGGGGGUGUGAUAACUCUAGGAAAUGAGAGUUAUUACAUCUGUUCUAGACUUGAAUAAAGGGCAUUUAGAGAGUAAAUAAUGUGUUUUGAUUACAUUUUGGUGACCUUAGGCAUAAACAUUCAUUUUAGUUGAGUUGUAACAAGUUUUGCUUGAAUCAUAGUAAUUUAUGCUAAAAACAAGUUUUAAAUUCAUGAAAGGAUGCAGAGACAAUAGAUGAGAAAGAGGAGGAAAGAAGAUGGUCACAAAAGAAAGAAAGCACAAUCGAAAAUAAUACAAGUGUUGUUGCGGAUGUUAGAGCAACCAGUGCUGCAACAAUUGGGGAAUGAUGCGGGGGAAAAUAUAGGUGUGGUCAGCAAUUAAAUCACAAUCUGCAUGUUUCCCAAUUUAAACACAUGCACGCUCAUGGGUUUCGGUUUUAACCUAAUAUUGCAAUAUUUAAAGGAAGCAUACACCACAUAGCAGGCGGCAGAGAAUCAUUAUCAUAAAAAAAAGACAAUUAUAAAGGCGAGAAAAAGAAGAAGAUUAAGGAGUGUUGUUCGGCUUCAUCGAAGAAUCGAGAAAGAUCCUUAGACUUUCAUCGUGCUUAAUUCAUAUUAUUACAAGUGUUAUUGCGGAUGUUAAAGCAACCAGUGCUGCAGCAAUUGGGGAAUGACGCGGGAGAAAAUAUAGGCGCGGUUAGCAAUUAAAUCACGAUCUGCAUGUUUCCCAAUUUAAAAACAUGCACGCUCAUGGGUUUCGGUUUUAACCUAAUAUUGCAAUAUUUAAAGGAAGCAUACACCACAUAGCAGGCGGCAGAGAAUCAUUAUCAUAAAAAAAAGACAAUUACAAAGGCGAGAAGAAGAAGAAGAUUAAGGAGUGUUGUUCGGCUUCAUCGAAGAAUCGAGAAAGAUCCUUAGACUUUCAUCGUGCUUAAUUCAUAUUAUCUUUCAUCUUUUGAUUGAUUGAAUGUAUUCUGUGAUUAGUAUCAUUAUAUUUAUUUUUCUCAUCCAGAGUAUAAACUAAAUUUAAGUGUAGUUGAGUGACAAAUAAUCCAAUGGGUUCUUGACUGUUCUUAUAUGUUGCUAUGAUAAUGUUGUAGUAUUAUACUCUAAUAGCUUUUAUGAACAUAAUUGUUAUUUCGGUUGACCACCCAUUUAAUGGUUUCAGUUAAGAUAGAGUAGCAAAAGGGCAUAUCUUAGCGGAUAUUAUUGAAGUAUUACUUGUUCCUAAGUUUAGUUUCCUGGAUUAGGUUAUCCUAAAUCUCAUAAGGGCAAUACUUGAAUUAAGAUUUGUGAUAUCCUAGACAUAGGUGUUCACCUUGUAGGGUAGAGAGAUUAAAGGUCAUAAAGCCAUACAUUAAAUUUAUGAGCAACUGGUCAUUGUUAGUAGAUUUGAAAGUAUGAGAUUUCCAACAUGCGAUAGUUGUGGAAGCAGAUUUGUUCUACCCAGUGCUGCAACACUUAUCAUAAACAACUGGUGCUAAUUCGGUAAUCAACAGUCACCCCAUUAGGAGAAUUUGAUCAUUCAACUACUACGUUCUCAAUUGAUUCUUAAACACAAUUAACUUAGUUUAUUUCGUACAAGUAUUAGUUUAUUUCUAUCUCUCAUAAUUAUUGGUUACGGGAGAAUAAUUUGACAAGUGUUUGUUUCGAUCUUUAGUUGAUUGCAUUAUUGUGGUUGCUUUAGCACUUUGAGUAACAUCAAUCCCUGUGGAGACGAUUUUGAAUACUUAUUACUUUAUUACUUGUUGUGUACACUUGCACUUUGGCAUUGAUAAUAAUUGAUUAUAUAAAUCACCCAACACCAAUCAAAUAUCGAGAAAUUCGUUUGACAGCAAGCAUGUGUGACUCUUUAGGACAAGAUUGAAAUCUAGCAUAUAAGCAUACACUAAACAUAAUAUCAGGUCUACUAGCAGUCAAAUAGAGUAAGGAUCCGAUCACACCUCGAUAAGUCUUGAUGUGAACUUCCUUAUAUUUCUCAUCUUUGUCCAGCUUGAUGGUAGUACUCAUUGGAGUGCUUUUUGCCGUUUCAUUAUCAUAGCCAAAUCGUUUGAGUAGAUCUUUUACGUACUUGGCUUGGUUUAUGAAAAUUCAUUCCUCGUUUUGUUUGAUUUGGAGUCCAAGGAAUUACUUCAACUUUCCCAUCAUACUCAACUCAAAUUCUUUGCUCAUACAAGAUGAAAAUUCUUUACACAAUAAUUCAUUAGUAGAACUAAAGAUAAUGUCAUCAACAUAGAUUUGAAUAAUAAGUAUAUCUUGGUUCUUAUGCUUAACAAAGAGAGUUGUGUCCGCUUUUCCCAUUGAAAAAUUGUUAUCUAACAUGAAGUUUUUAAGCCUAUCAUACCAUGCUCUAGGUGCUUGUUUUAAUCCAUACAAAACCUUAGAUAAACUUAUACACAUGAUCUGAAAAAUUUUUAUUUUCAAAACCAGGGGGUUAUUUCAGAUACACUUCUUCCAUAAUAUAACCAUUUAAGAAAGCACUCUUGACAUCCAUUUGAUAUAAAAUAAAAUCUUUAUGACAUGCAAAAGCUAAGAGCAUUCUAAUAGAUUCUAGUCUAGCUACAGGUGCAAUCAAUUCCCUCUUCUUGGUUGUAGCUUUGAGCCACUAGUCUAGCUUUAUUUCUUACAACUACACCAGAUUCAUCAAUUUUGUUUCUAAAUACCCAUUUAGUACCUAUGAUGGAUUGAUGUUCCGGGUUAGGAACUAAUUCCCAUACAUUGUUUCUCUCCAAUUGAUUCAAUUCCUCUUGCAUUGCCAUAAUCCAAGAUUCAUCUUUUUCUGCAUCCGCAAAGGAUUUUAGUUCAAUUUGAGAAAUAAAUGCAGCAUGCUCACAUGUGUUCCUAAGAGAUGAUCUAGUUGUAACACCUCGUGAGGGAUCUCCUAAAAUUACAUCCUUAGGGUGAGAAGAAACAUACCUCCACUCCUUGGGGAGUGUUUGAAAAGUACCUUCAUUUUGCUCUGCAUUUGUUUCUUCAUGAUGUUCCUCUUGAAUUCCAUGUGGUGCAUCUUUUUGGUUGUCAUUUGAUGCUUCUUCUUGUUGUUCUUCUUCUGCAUUAUCAUCAACAACGACUUUCUCCGUAGAGGAGGGGUUAGACUCAUCAAAUGUAACAUGCAUAGAUUCUUCCACAACCAAAGUUCUUUUAUUAUAAACUCUAUAAGCUUUGCUUGAGUUUGAAUAACCAAGAAAAAUACCAACAUCAGAUUUUGGAUCAAAUUUACCAAGAUUAUCUUUUGUGUUCAAAACAAAACAUUUGCAUCCAAAGACUUUAAAAUAACCAAUGUUGGGUUUUCUAUCUUUCUAAAGCUCAUAUGGAGUUUUAUUAAGAUUAUGUCUAAUCAACACAUGAUUCAAAACAAGCGGUGUUGACAACUUCGGCCCAAAAAUACUUAGGCAAAGAAUUUUCAUUCAACAUGGUCCUAGCCAUUUCUUGAAUGGACCUAUUCUUUCUCUCUACAACUCCAUUUUGUUGAGGAGUCCUAGGUGAUGAAAAUUGAUGCUCAAUGCCAAAAUCAUUACAAAAGUUCUCAAAACCAUAAUUUUCAAAUUCUCUACCAUGAUCAUUUCCAAUACAAGAAAUAUUACAUCCCUUUUCAUUUUGAACCUUUUUGCAGAAAACUUUAAAAGCAUCAAAGACAUCAUCCUUAUUAGCUAAGAAUAAUACCCAUGUGAAUCUAGAGUAAUCAUCCAUAAUUACAAAAGCAUAAUAUUUGUCAUUUAAACUAGCAUAUCUAGAAGGACCAAAUAAAUUUAUGUGAAGAAGUUGAAGUGGUUUUGAAGUAGAAAUAUGAUUUUUGUUUUUAAAAGAAGUUUUGAUUUGUUUUCCAAAUUAGCAAGCUUCACAAAUUCUAUCUUUUUGAAAACUGAUUUUUGUGCUGUACGGCCAAGGCGGAUGUACGGUACAGCAGAGAUUCCAAAUUAGCAAGCUUCACAAAUUCUAUCUUUUUGAAAACUGAUUUUUGGAAGACCUUUAACCAAAUCAUUUUUCAUGAUUUUUGAAAUCAAAUCCAUGCUUGUACGACCUAAUCUUCUAUGCCACAACCAACCAUCAUCAUGCAAUGCGGAGAAACAUUUAUCAUUUGUAGAUGCACAAUCUAUAUUAAUGGUAUAGACAUUAACACAUCUAUUUCCUACAAACAAACCUUGCCAUCGCAUGCAUUCUCAAUAAUACAUUUUUAUUCAUCAAAGAUAACUCUAUAUCCUUUAUCACGUAGUUGACUAAUGCUAAGCAAGUUGUGCUUUAAGUUUUCAACCAAACAUACAUUUUCAAUGAGAGUAAAGGAUACAUUACUGACAUUACCAAUGCCAAUGAUUCUUCCAUUUGAAUUAUCUGCAAACGAUACAUCUCCACCAUUUUCGAUCUUGGUAAAACUUGAAAAUCAAGAAUAAUUUCCAGUCAUGUGUCUUGAACAACCGUUGUCCAAGUACCACUUAUUCUUCUUCUUCUUCAAGCCCUGUAGAGAAAAUUUUAAGUUUUAGGUACUCAAAUCUUUUCCGUUGUCCAAGUACCACUUAUUCUUCUUCUUCUUCAAGCCCUGUAGAGAAAAUUUUAAGUUUUAGGUACCCAAAUCUUUUUGGGUCCUUGAGAGUUAGCAAUGGUUCCUUUCGGAACCCAAACACAUUUCAUACCAUAAUAUGCAUUUCUCUUCACUUGACAUCGAUUUUUCAUAUGACCAUCUUGAUUAUAAUAAUGACAUACAAUUUGAUUAUUAAUAGACGUAUUCUUCACAAAUAACUUUUGUAAUAUUUUUGUUUCAAAUUUGACUUAUAACCAAUGCCUCUUUUAUCAAAUACAUAGUUUUGUGAGUUUAGCAAGUUAUCCAACAUCUUUUGCCCAUUUGUGAAUUUUAGCACAAUCUCAUUUAGUUCAUUGCUCUUCUUUUUAAGCAUUUCAUUUUCAUUUUUCAAAUCAUUCACAUGUGACUCUAAAUGCUCAUGUGAAGUGCUAGAAUUCUCAAAUAAUACAACUCUAUCAUGUAAUGUUUUAUUCUCUAAUUAUAGGCAUAUAAUCUUUGCAUUAAAUGACUCAUUUUCAUUUUUAAGCUCUAUCAUUUUCUUUUUAAGACAUAUAUUCUUUUUACCAAUCUUUAUCAAUUCAUCAUGCAAAUCCUUAAAGGCAUCAUGUAAUUUAUCAUAUGUAGGAAGAACACUUACCUUAUCAAGUUCAUUACAUGAUUCUUCCCCAAAGGCCAUGAGAGCUAGAUUAGUCAUCUCUUGUUGCUUUUCAUCAUCGCUUGUUUCCUCAUCACUAUUAUCCCACGUGGCCACCAUAGCUUUCUUCUUGAGUUUGUUGAGGAUAGGAUAUUCCAGUCGUAUGUAUCCGGGCUUCUUGCAUUCAUAGCAAAUGAUUGGCUCUUUCUUCUCCUUUUUGUUUUUGUGACUUCUAAACUUUCUCUGCUCGUUAUUCUUCUUGUAGAAUUUUCUGAAUCUUCUAGCCAACAUAGCCAACUCCUCAUCAUCCAUCUCGUUUUCCUCAUCACUCUCACGUUUUGAGGCUUUGAGAGCAAUGUUUUUCUUCUUUUCCUCAUGUCUUUUUUCUGCUGCUAAAUCUUCUUCAUAUGAAAUGAGAGAACCAAUUAAAUCAUCAAUAAGUAAUACAUUUAAAUCUUUGGCUUCCUCAAUGACCGUCUUUUUUGGCCUUCAUUCCUUAGGUAGCGACCUAAUGAUUUUCUUAACUUUCUCGUUAUUAGAAAAAGUUUUUCCUAGGGCUUCUAGAGUGUUCACUAUGUCCGUAAAUCUAGUGUACAUAGAAUAUACACUCUCAUUUUAUUCCAUUUGAAACAAUUCAUAUUGUCGAGUGUACCUACUAAUUUCGACUCUUUCACUUGAUUCAUGCCUUCAUAGACAACUUCAAAUAUGUGUCAAAUUUCAUUAGUACUUUCACAACUAGACACUCUAUGAAACUCUUUCUUAUCAAGAGCACAAAAUAAGGCAUUCAUAGCUUUGGAAUUUAGAGAGGCAUUUCUCUUUUCCAAUUCAUUCCAUUCCCGCGAUGGUUUUGGAAUAUCUUCCCCGACUUCAUUUUUAGUCAAAGGCAUGAAAAGACCAUCAUUAACGAUUUCCCAAAUUUCGUAAUCUAAAACUUGCAAGUAAAUUCUCAUCCCAAUUUUCCAAUACGGUGAUCUUUUCCAUCAAAAUAUGGUGGUCCAGUGGUGGAUUGUCCUUCCCUAAAUGUAGAAUUAUUAUGAGUUGCCAUUGAUCUUUAGCUAUAGACGGUUAAGUCUAAACAAGAGCACCUUUCUCUGAUACCAAAUGAAAUACUGUUAGCCUAUAUGGCUAUAGAUAUUGAUUUUGAUGAUAACAAACCACAUGUAUUGAUUAAGUAAAGAUUUACGAAUUGUGCUUUUAUAAUAAGAAAAUGAUGUUAUGGAAUUAAAGAGUUUUUGAUUAAAAUGAAAGUAUUUUUAAAUCUUUGAUAGGGUUUUAAAUUUCGGAUUUGGACAUAUUUGAAACUAUUUAAAUAUUUUGGGUCAUUCUAUAAUUUCACAUAGUUUGGGUGAAAUCAUAAUUUCAAAAAGUUUUGGGAUUGACAAAGCAUUAUUUAAAAUUCUGAAAUUGGACCUAUUUGAAAGCUUUCAUAACGUUUUGGGCCAUACUACAGUUUUAUAAAGUUUUAGGGACAAACUAUAAAUUUAAAAAGCGGCUAGCCAGAUAUGGUAAACGGCAAACUGGAUUUUGGGCAGUAAGCUUCUGGAGCAUAAACGGCUAUCCGGAUUUCGCAAAGCGGCAAUCCAGAUUUCAAAAGCGGCUUACCGGAUAUGAAAAGCGGCAUGCCGGAUAUUCUAAAAUUUAAAUUUUUGCCUUAACGGUAACAUAAAAGCAGCUUACCGGAUUCCUAAACGGCAAGCUAAUGAUUAUCAAAAUGUGCAUAACGGCUAGUUUUUGAGCUCAAACUAUAUAAACUCAAAUCCAACUCAUUUCAAGCUAACUAGCAAGCAUAAACAAAAAGCACACGAGAUAACUUGAGCUUUCAAUUUGCAAGUCACAAAAUAUUGAAUCAUCUUUUGUUCUUCAUUUUUGAAUAUCUACUCCUUGAGUGAGUUUUAUUGUAACCUUCAUUUCUUCAUCUUAAUUGUAAGAGUUUAAGUGUGUGAGACACUUGAGUAAAGAGAUUGGGAGAUAAUCUCUUUGUUGUAAAGGUUCAUUGACACCUUGAAGUCAAUUGUAAACGGUUGAAGCCUUAGAAAUGCUCGGAUAGUGAAAUCCUCAAGCUUGGAUCGCUUGCAGGCGUGGACGUAGGCGGGGAUUGCCGAACCACGUAAAAAUUCGUGUGUUUGUUUCUCUUCUCCCUUACUCAUUUGUUAUUGUGCUUUUAUUGAACUUAUUACUUUCAAUUUUUAUUAAGAAAUUAGAUUGCUUGUUGUGUGGAUUUGUUAGGAUAAUUCUUAAAAUUCCAAUUCACCCCCCUCUUGGGUUGCACACUUAUAUUUCAUUUGGUAUCAGAGCAAGGUGCUUUUAUUUAGAUUUAACAGUCUAGAGCUAAAGAUCAAUGGCAACUCAAUAUGAUUCCAUAUUUAGGGAAUGACAGUCCACCACUAGACCACCUUACUUUGAUGGAAACGAUUACACGUAUUGGAAAACUAGGAUGAGAAUUUACUUGCAAGCCUUAGAUUAUGAAAUUUGAGAAAUCGUUAAUGAUGGUCCUUUCAUGCCUUUGACUAAAAAUGAAGCCGGGGAAGAUAUUUCAAAACCUUCACGGGAAUGGAAUGAAUUCGAAAAGAGAAAAGCUUUUCUAAAUUCCAAGGCUAUGAAUGCCUUGUUUUGUGCACUAGAUAAGAAAGAGUUUCAUAGAGUGUCUAGUUGCGAAAGUGCUAAUGAAAUUUGGCACAAACUUGAAGUUGCCUAUAAAGGCACGAAUCAAGUGAAAGAAUCUCAAAUAAGUAGGUACACUCGACAAUAUGAAUUAUUUCAAAUGGAACAAAAUGAGAAUGUGUACUCUAUGUAUACUAGAUUUACGAAAAUAGUGAAUACUCUAGGAGCCCUAGGAAAGACCUUUUCAAAUAGCGAGAAAGUUAAGAAAAUCAUUAGGUCGCUACCUAAGGAAUGGAGACAAAAAAUGACUACCAUUGAGGAAGCCAAAGAUUUAAAUGUAUUACCUAUUGAUGAUUUAAUUGGUUCUCUCAUUUCAUAUGAAGAAGAUUUGGCAGUAGAAAAAUGGCAUGAGGAAAAGAAGAAAAACAUUGCUCUCAAGGCUUCAAAACGUGAGAGUGAUGAGGAAAGUGAAAUGGAUGAUGAGGAGUUGCCAAUGUUGGCUAGAAGAUUCAUAAAAUUUUACAAGAAGAAUAAUGAGCAGAGAAAGUUCAGAGGCUACAAGAAUGAGAGGGAGAACAAAGAGCCAAUCACUUGUUAUGAAUGUAAGAAGCCCGGACACAUACGACCGGAAUGUCCUCUUCUCAACAAACUCAAGAAGAAAGCUAUGGUGGCCACAUGGGAUGAUAGCGAUAGGAAACAAGUGAUGAUGAUGAGCAACAAGAAAUGACAAAUUUAGCUCUCAUGGCCUUUGGGAAAGAAUCAUGUGAUGAACUUGAUGAGGUAAGUGUUCUUCCUACAUAUGAUGAAUUACAUGAUGCCUUUAAGGAUUUGCAUGAUGAGUUGAUGAAGAUUGGUAAAAAGAAUAUAUGUCUUAAAAAGAAGAUAUGAAGAUUGGUAAAAAGUGAUGAACUUGAUGAGGUAAGUGUUCUUCCUACAUAUGAUGAAUUACAUGAUGCCUUUAAGGAUUUGCAUGAUGAGUUGAUGAAGAUUGGUAAAAAGAAUAUAUGUCUUAAAAAGAAGAUGAUAGAACUUAAAAAUGAAAAUGAAUCAUUUAGUUCAAAGAUUACAUGCCUAGAAUUAGAAAAUAAAACAUUGCAUGAUAGCAUUGCAUUAUUUGAGAAUUCUAGCACUCCACAUGAGCACUUAGAGUCACACAUGAAUGACUUGAAAAAUGAAAAUGAAAUACUUAGAAAGAAGAGAAAUGAACUAAAUGAAAUUGUUCUAAAAUUCACAAAUGGGCAAAAGAUGUUAGACAACUUGCUAAACUCACAAAAAUGUGUAUUUGACAAAGGAGGCAUUGGUUAUAAACCAAAUUUGAAACAAAAAUUUUAGAAGAGUUAUUUUGUGAAUAAUACAUCUAUUAACAAUGAAGUUGUAUGUCAUUAUUGUAAUCAAGAUGGUCACAUGAAAAAUAGAUGUGCAGUGAAGAGAAAUGCAUGUUAUGGUGUGAAAUGUGUUUGGGUUCCGAAAGGAACCAUUGCUAAUUCUCAAGGACCCAAAAAGGUUUGGGUACCUAAAACUUGAGAUUUUCUCUACAGGGCUUGAAGAAGGAGAAAAAUAAGUGGUACUUGGACAGCGGUUGUUCAAGACACAUGACAGGGAAUUAUUCUUGGUUUUCAAGUUUUACUAAGAUCGAAAAUAGUGGAGAUGUAUCAUUUGGAGAUAAUUCAAAGGAAAAAUCAUUGGCAUUGGAAAUGUUGGUAAUGUAUCCUCUACUCUCAUUAAAAAUGUGUGCUUGGUUGAAAACUUGAAACACAACUUGCUUAGUAUUAGUUAAUUAUGUGAUAAAGGAUAUAGAGUUAUCUUUGAUGAAUCUAAAUGUGUUAUUGAAAAUGCAUGUGAUGGGAAAGUUUUGUUUGUAAGAAAUAGAUGUGUUAAUGUCUAUACUAUUAAUAUAAAUUGGGCAUCGAAAAAUGAUAAAUGUUUCUCCGCAUUGCAUGAUGAUGGUUGGUUGUGGCAUAGAAGAUUAGGUCAUGCAAGCAUAGAUUUGAUUUCAAAAAUCAUGAAAAAUGAUUUGGUUAAAGGUCUUCCAAAAAUCAGUUUUCAAAAAAAUAGAAUUUGUGAAGCUUGCCAAUUUAGAAAACAAAUCAAAACUUCCUUUAAAAGCAAGAAUCAUGUCUCUACUUCAAAACCACUUUAAUUACUUCACAUAAACUUGUUUGGACCUUCUAGAUAUUCUAGUUUAAGUGGCAAAUUUUAUGCAUUUGUAAUUGUAGAUGAUUAUUCUAGAUACACAUGGGUAUUGGUCUUAGCUAAUAAGGAUAAUGCUAUUGAUGCAUUUCAAUUUUUCUAUAAAAAAGUUCAAAAUGAAAAAGGCUAUUUUAUUACUUGUAUUAGAAGCGAUCAUGGUGGAGAAUUUGAAAAUCAUGCAUUUGAAAAUUUUUGUAAUGACUUUGGCAUUGAAUAUCAAUUUUCAUCACCUAGGACUUCACAACAAAAUAGAGUAGUAAAGAGAAAGAAUAGGUCUAUCCAAGAAAUGGCUAGGACCAUGUUGAAUGAAAAUUCUUUGUUUAAGUAUUUUUGGGCCGAAGCCAUCAACACCACUUGUUAUGUUUUGAAUCGUGUAUUGAUUAGACCUAAUCUUAAUAAAACUCCAUAUGAGCUUUGAAAAGAUAGAAAACCCAACAUUGGUUAUUUUAAAGUCUUUGGAUGCAAAUAUUUUGUUUUGAACACAAAAUAUAAUCUUGGUAAAUUUGAUCCAAAAUCUUAUGUUGGUAUUUUUCUUGGUUAUUCAAACUUAAUUAUAAUAAAAGAACUUUGGUUGAAAAGAACUUUGGUUGUGGAAGAAUCUAUGCAUGUUACAUUUGAUGAGUCUAACCCCUCCUCUACGGAGAAAGUCAUUGUUGAUGAUAAUGCAGAAGAAGAACAACAAGAAGAAUCAUCAAAUGACAACCAAAAAGACGCACCACAUGGAAUUCAAGAGGAACAUCAUGAAGAAACAAAUGUAGAGCAAAAUGAAGGUACUUCUCAAACACUCCCCAAGAAGUGGAGGUAUGUUUCCUCUCACCCUAAGGAUGUAAUUUUAGGAGAUCCUUCACGAGGUGUUACCACUAGAUCAUCUCUUAGGAACACAUGUGAGCAUGCUGCACCCUAAGGAUGUAAUUUUAACUCCCCAAGAAGUGGAGGUAUGUUUCCUCUCACCCUAAGGAUGUAAUUUUAGGAGAUCCUUCACGAGGUGUUACCACUAGAUCAUCUCUUAGGAACACAUGUGAGCAUGCUGCAUUUAUCUCUCAAAUUGAACCAAAAUCCUUUGAGGAUGCGGAAAAUAAUGAAUCUUGGAUUAUGGCUAUGCAAGAGGAGUUGAAUCAAUUUGAGAGAAACAAUGUGUGGGAGUUAGUUCCUAAUCCGGAACAUCAAUCCAUUAUAGGUACUAAAUGGGUAUUUAGAAAUAAAAUAGAAACAAUGUGUGGGAAUUAGUUCUUAAUCUAGAACAUCAAUCCAUUAUAGGAACUAAAUGGGUAUUUACAAACAAAAUGGAUGGAUCCGGUGUGGUUGUAAAAAAUAAAGCUAGAUUAGUGGCUCAAGGUUACAACCAAGAAGAAAGAAUUGAUUUUAAUGAAACAUUUGCACCUGUAGCAAGGGUAGAAUCCAUUAGGAUGUUGUUAGCGUAUGCAUAUCAUAAGGAUUUCAUUUUAUAUCAAAUGGAUGUUAAGAGUGCUUUCUUAAAUGGUUAUAUUAUAAAGGAAGUUUAUGUGAAACAACCUCCUGGUUUUGAAAAUGAAAAAUUUUCAGAUCAUGUGUAUAAGUUAUAUAAUGCUUUGUAUGGACUAAAACAAGCACCUAGAGCUUGGUAUGGACUAAAACAAGCACCUAGAGCUUGGUAUGAUAGGCNNNNNNNNNNNNNNNNNNNNNNNNNNNNNNNNNNNNNNNNNNNNNNNNNNNNNNNNNNNNNNNNNNNNNNNNNNNNNNNNNNNNNNNNNNNNNNNNNNNNNNNNNNNNNNNNNNNNNNNNNNNNNNNNNNNNNNNNNNNNNNNNNNNNNNNNNNNNNNNNNNNNNNNNNNNNNNNNNNNNNNNNNNNNNNNNNNNNNNNNNNNNNNNNNNNNNNNNNNNNNNNNNNNNNNNNNNNNNNNNNNNNNNNNNNNNNNNNNNNNNNNNNNNNNNNNNGAGGAAGGAAUUUUCAUAAAUCAAGCCAAGUACGUGAAAGAUCUACUCAAAAGAUUUGGCUAUGAUAAUGGAACAGUAAAAAGCACUCCAAUGAGUACUACCAUCAAGCUGGACAAAGAUGAGAAAGGUAAGGAAGUUGAUAUCAAGACAUAUCGAGGUAUGAUCGGAUCCUUACUCUACUUGACUGCUAGUAGGCCUGAUAUUAUGUUUAGUGUAUGCUUGUGUGCUAGAUUUCAAUCUUGUCCUAAAGAGUCACACAUGCUUGCUAUCAAACGCAUUUUUCGAUAUUUGAUUGGCAUCAUUAAUCUUGGCCUUUGGCAUCCUAGGGGAACUCAUAUUGACUUAACUUGUUAUUCGGAUGCCGAUUUUGCUAGAUAUAAGGUUGAUAGAAAAAGUACUAGUGGAACUUGUCACUUCCUAGGCCAUUCUCUUGUCUCUUGGUUUAGUAAGAAACAAAAUUCGGUGGCGCUUUCAACCAUACUUGAUCAAAUACCUAUCUUGUGUGACAAUACUAGUGCUAUAAAUCUUUCCAAGAAUCCCAUUCAACAUUCUAAAACUAACCAUAUAGAAAUUAGACAUCAUUUCUUUAGAGAUCAUGUUCAAAAAGAAGAUGUUGUAAUUAAAUUUGUUUCUACUGAAAAUCAGCUUGCGGAUAUCUUUACAAAAUCUCUUAGCGAAGAGUAUUUUAUAAAGAUAAGACAUGAGCUUGAAAUGAUGAAUGUUGCAUCUUGACUUAUGUUUUACUACAUGGCUUGAUAUGUUUGUUAUUAUAUGGAUUUAUACUUCAAGAAUUAGAUAGCUUGAUAUGCUUAUAAUUUUAUGAUUUUAUGUUUCAUGCAUUAAAUGACUUAUUGACAAGUUUUAAAUCUCAAAAUGAUUUAAAAUAAAUCAUUUUUAAAAGCCAAAAACAAAAUGGUGUGUGUAAUACAAGUAUAAGAGCUUGCCAAAAUUCAAUUAGAGACAAAAAGUCUUCCAAGUCUAAACCGAUAUUCCACUUCCUCUCAUCCGGAAAACCGCUUUCUUAUUGAUUUCUCUCGGGAAAAAUUCCGGAUAACCGGAUUUAGUAAACCGGUAAGCCGGAUUAACUUUGGUUGCUCUCGGGUUAACUUUCGGAUAACCGGAUUAUCAAUCCAGAAAACCGAAUUUUCUAAGCCUCCUCUCUGCCUCAAAACCAGACAGCCGGUUCUUCAAAUUCGGAAAAUCGAUUACAGGUUGCAUGGUUCUGCCACACAACCGGCUAACCGAAUUCAAGAGGCAACUUUCUGCCUCAAAAUCGGACAACCGGUUAGAUAAACCGGAAAGCCGGAUACGGUUUUUUUUGCUCUCUGCCCCGUAACUGACUAACCGGUUAGUGAAAUCCGAUUAGCCGGAUUUGCAUGAAGACCUUGCUGGAACAUAACCAGAUUUCCGGUUAAAGACAUCCGGUAAGCCGGAUUCGCGGUUAAAAGAGCACUGUUAUUCUUCCUUCUUCAUUUGGCCAAUCGGAUUGCUCUCUCUCUCUCUCAAAGCCGUUUAUUCUUCACUCUAUCUCACUCCAAAAUCCAUCAUCUUCUUACUUUUUCGCAUCAAAUUGAGUCUCGAAAAUCAUUCCCUAUCACUUCAUUUACUCAAAAUCAUCCUCAAACUCCAUUUUCAACAUCUAAAUCUCUAUAUCCCAAAUUUAACCUAGGUUUUCAGCUGAUUUUUCUCUCUCUAGAUUUCUCCCUCCUUAGCCUUUUUUUAUCCAAAUUGUUUCUCAAACUCUCUUUCAAUCUUCAUAAUCUUCAUUCUUUUUGCUCUUUUUAACUUCAAAUCAAUCCAAAUCACAAUGUCAAGCUCUCGGCCGGUUCGAAGAAAAGGCAAAGAACCAGUUCAACCAACCAACAGGUCACGGCAAGCAGGGGCACCUCCAAUCAAUCCAAUUUUGAGUCCAUUCACUUUCAUAAUAAGAAACACUUGAUCAAACGAUUUCAACAAAGCUUCAGCACUCGUGAGGUACUCAAUACGUUUUAUGUUUUACCGGAUGUGAUGCAUACUCUCAAUAUUAGUCAUAGAAAUUUAUUUCAAUUGUUGGGAGAUGUUGGUUGGAUUGAUGCACUUUUGAUUGAGGAGAACUUGUAUCCCGACUUGGUGAAAGUGUUUUACUCGAAUAUGGAAGUUUCUAAGGAGAACAAGACUCGAGUAAUCACUAAUGUUGGAGGAGUUAUGAUUGACUUUGAUGUUUCCUUGUUAAACUCUAUCCUAGGAUCAUCCGAUUUUGGCCUAGAAAUUUUUUCGCCUAGGAAAUCUCCUAAACUUGAUAGUUAUGUUCAUGUUGACACCGUUCGUAAUAUUUGUCAACGUAAUGAUCUUUCUGUUGAGGAUUAUACCAUUCAUUUCUGCACUCAGUGUCUUUGUCUUCAAACUCGCAUUUUGCUUCGCAUUAUUCAGUCCAUUGUACUUCCUAGAUCAGGGCAUUUGGAUGAGGUUUCUCACAUGGACGUUGUUUUGAUUGACUGUAUUUUUAGACGUCGUCUGGUUAACUUGGGCUAUACCAUCAUCCGAACCAUGUUGACCAUACCUGCCUUGAUUACCAGCUCCCUUCCAUAUGGUCACUUCAUUACCUGAAUCCUUAAAUUUUUUGAUGUGCCGAUUCUAGAACCAUCAUGUAGACCGUCUAAGGGUAUUGGGGAUGGUGUUAUCUUCGGCUUAGACUUUGAGUGGAAAAAUGGCACUUGGGUCAAAUACACUGAGAGUAGCUACCUGUUUUCUCACUCUCAUUUCGAGGGUAGCGUCAACGCCGAGAUCCUCCCAUGAUUGCUUCAGCUCCUGGUGCCUCUACAUCCGUUUCAUCACCUCCACAGCCUCCUACCUCUGAAGAGGUUACUCUUCAGCAGCUUAUGGAUGAGGUGCGGACACUCUCUUUGUGGCAGACUGAGUUUCAGCAGCAACAACAGCAGCUCAUUCAUGGACAGCGCCUUCUCUUUGAGCAUUUCGACAUUCCAUAUCCGUAUCCACCUCCAUCACCACCAUCCUCACCACCUCAGUAGUCUCUUAUGCAUGUAUUUGGACACACCUACAUUUCAUUUACUGCAUUAUUUUUUUUUUAUUUUCGACUAUAUGGAUGGUUAUUAUGCUUUUGGAUUAUGUAUUUGUUUUGGAUGAUAUGGAUUUGUUUUGAGUGUUUAUUAUGGAUUAUAUGGAUUUCUUUAUGCUUAUGGGUAUUUUUUCUACUAAUGUGCUUGUGUUGCGACUUUGAUGAUUGAUAGGGGGAGUUUUUAUUCUUUUUGAUGAUGAAGGGGGAGAAUAAUUUAAUAUGUGUUAUAAAAAGUGUUAUGAAAAUAUGCAUAUAUCCAGGGGGAGUAUGCUUGUAUGCAGGGGGAGUCUUGUUCAAUAAUCUUCAAAUCAAUUUUGUUUUAACUUGCAUUGAUUAAGGGGGAGCUUUUCAUACCUAGAUUAAAUUUUUUAUAAUGUGUUUUGUCAUCAUCAAAAGGGGGAGAUUGUUAGCCUAUAUGGCUAUAGAUAUUGAUAAUUAAAGUGUUUUGAACUAAAAUGAAAGUAUUUAAAAACCUUUGAUAUUGUUUUAAAAUUUCAAAUUUGGACAUAUUUGAAAAUAUUUAAAUAUUUUAGGUCAUUCUAUAAUUUCACAUAGUUUGGGUGAAAUCAUAAUUUCAUAAAGUUUUGGGAUUGACAAAGUAUUAUUUAGAAAUUCUGAAAUUGGACCUAUUUGAAAGCUUUCAUAACAUUUUGGGCCAUAAUACAGUUUUAUAAAGUUUUAGGGUCAAACUAUAAUUUUAAAAAUAUUUCAUUGUACCAGUUACUGUAGCAAGCGGCUAACCGGAUAUGGUAAGCGGCAAUCCAGAUUUUGGGCAGUAAGCUUCUGGAGCAUAAACGGCUAUCCGGAUAUUGUAAGCGACAUGCCGGAUGUUAUGAAAUUCAAAUUUUUAUUGUAACGGUAACAUAAAAGCGGCUAACCGGAUUCUGAAAGCGGCAAGCCGGUUAUCAUUAGAAAACACAUAACGGCUAGUUUUUGGGCUCAAACUAUAUAAACUCAAAUCCAAUUCAUUUUCAAGCCCCCUAGCAAGCAUAAACAAAAAGCACACGAGAUAUUUUGAGCUCUCAAUUCGCAAAUCAUAAAACAUUGAAUCAUCUCUUGUUCUUCAUUUUGAAUAUCUACUCUUUGAGAGAGUUUUGUUGUAAUUUUUUAUUUCCUUAUAAAGUUGUGAGUGUUUGAGUGUGUGAGACAAUUGAGUAAAGAGAUUGGGAGAUAAUCUCUUUGUUGUAAAGGUUCAUUGACACCUUGAAGUCAAUUGUAAACGGUUGAAACCUUAGAAAGGCUCGGAUAGUGAAAUCCUCAAGCUUGGAUCGCUUAAAGGCGUGAACGUAGGCGGGGAUUGCCGAACCACGUAAAAAUUCGUGUGUUUGUUUCUCUUCUCCCUUACUCAUUUGUUAUUGUGCUUUUAUUAAACUUAUUACUUUCAAUUUUUAGUAAGAAAUUAGAUUGUUUGUUGUGUGGAUUUACUAGGAUAAUUCUUAAAAUUUCAAUUCACCCCCCCUCUUGGGUUGCACACUUAUAUUUCAAAUACAAAUGUGCAACCCAAGAGAGGGGGUGAAUUGGUAUUUUUUAAAAAAAUCCUAACAAUAUCACACAAUAAUCCAAUCUAACACCUUAAUGAAUUCGAAAGUAAUAAGUUCAAUAAAAACACAAUCACAAGUAAGUAAGAGAGAAGAGAAACAAACACGAAUUUUUACGUGGUUUGGUAAUCCCUGCCUACGUCCACGCCUCUAAGCGAUCUAAGCUUGAGGAUUUCACUAUCCAAGCCUUCCAAGGCUUUAAAUGUUUACAAUUGACUUCAAGGUGUCAAUGAACCUUUACAACAAAGAGAUUAUCUCCCAAUCUCUUUACUCAAUUGUCUCACACACUCAAACACUCACAACUUUAUAAGGAAAUAAAAAAUUACAACAAAACUCUCUCAAAGAGUAGAUAUUCAAAAUGAAGAACAAGAGAUGAUUCAAUGUUUUAUGAUUUGCGAAUUGAGAGCUCAAAAUAUCUCGUGUGCUUUUUGUUUAUGCUUGCUAGGGGGCUUGAAAAUGAAUUGGAUUUGAGUUUAUAUAGUUUGAGCCCAAAAACUAGCCGUUAUGUGUUUUCUAAUGAUAACCGGCUUGCCGCUUUCAGAAUCCGGUUAGCCGCUUUUAUGUUACCGUUACAAUAAAAAUUUGAAUUUCAUAACAUCCGGCAUGUCGCUUACAAUAUCCGGAUAGCCGUUUAUGCUCCAGAAGCUUACUGCCCAAAAUCUGGAUUGCCGCUUACCAUAUCCGGUUAGCCGCUUGCUACAGUAACUGGUACAAUGAAAUAUUUUUAAAAUUAUAGUUUGACCCUAAAACUUUAUAAAACUGUAUUAUGGCCCAAAAUGUUAUGAAAGCUUUCAAAUAGGUCCAAUUUCAGAAUUUCUAAAUAAUACUUUGUCAAUCCCAAAACUUUAUGAAAUUAUGAUUUCACCCAAACUAUGUGAAAUUAUAGAAUGACCUAAAAUAUUUAAAUAUUUUCAAAUAUGUCCAAAUUUGAAAUUUUAAAACAAUAUCAAAGGUUUUUAAAUACUUUCAUUUUAGUUCAAAACACUUUAAUUCCAUAACAUCAUUUUCUUAUUAUAAAAGCACAAUUCAUAAAUCUUUGUUUAAUUAACACAUGUGGUUUGUUAUCAUCAAAAUCAAUAUCUAUAGCCAUAUAGGCUAUCAAAUUCCUUGUGUAACGCCUGUUAUUUGUUUCCUCUUUUACCCUUAUUAAAUUAGGUAGGAUAGUUAUCAUUGAGUGUUUGUAUGUGAGUAAAACUUAUCAAUUUGUUUUAAAUCAAUUACAUAGGUUAUUAGCUUUUAUUUAAAAAAAGAAUUUUCUUAAAACUCAUGUUUUCUUGCGUUCUAUUUUUUUCAAGUAUUUAUUAAUUACCAAAAGUAUUUAAGAGGAAGCCAUCUUUUUAAGAGGAACUCGUCUUUUAUUUUCCACACCGUUACAAACCCGAGAAAAAAAAAGAAAAGAAAGAAACAUAAGUCUUUGGAGAAGGUAAACAUAAGUCUUUGGAGAAGGAAAACAAAGUUUUAUAACUUCUUUGCUUGGUGUUUGCCUUAAAGUAUUAAGUAUUUCUUUGACUUAUAUGAUUUAUUUUUAUUAAUUGUCUGCCUUUAAUUACUUGUAGUAUGAUUUGGGUAAUAUAUGUGUGUUUGUAAUGCUGUGAUGAUAUGAAUAGUCUAUAUUCUUUGCUUCAAAUCGUUUUCUUUAUUUAAAAUCACAUGAAUACGUUUACAAAUCAUGAUACUAGACAUGCUAAGCUUUCCAUUGAUAGGUCUUGUGUUGAAAUCCUCCAAGUAUGAAAAUUGUUAUGAUUUUUUGAAGUUAGGUUAUUGGUGCUGGAAAAUUCUGAUUUUCAGUGGCGGUUCUCACUUCUGGAAAUGUUUCUGUAAGGUUACACAUCUUUAAAAAUUAUGGUGAUUUUUGUAUCCACAUAUCUAUGUCUCAUAUGAUUGCAUGUUUAAUUUCGUAAUUUUUAUUCAUUAUGGUUAAAUUAUUAAAAAUCAUAACAUGCGGCUGCUGUAGAUCUGGAAACUAUUUUCCAGAAUUGCAGAAGCUGAAACAUGUAACAGUUUGGGCUAAUUUAUUGUUGGGAAAAUAUGCUCUUUAAAAGCAUAUAUGUUUAUUUAAUUGUAAUAAAUAUUUUUUUUCUGAUUAAUAAAAUAAAUGAGGUAUUUUAUUCAAAUAUCUUAAUUGCAUUAAUAUUUUGAUUAAAGUCCAUUUAAUCAUAUUAUAUGUAUUUAUAUGAUUACCAUGUGGAUUCACAGAAGACAUAAAUACAAGUUAUCUUAUGAUUAAAUAAAUUUAGUUCACAGUUGAUAAAUAAAGUUGGACACUUUAUUUACGUAUAGACUGUAAUGAAUUCAUUGAAUGAUUUGUCUUAAUCAUGUAUGAAUUUAUUGAUGUAGUACGACUACAUUGAACAUGAUCACAUAUGAGAUUUAAUUAACUUUGUAAUAACUGUCAGACUUAUUAAAUCUCAUAGGCAUUGAUUUUACUGUAAUCUUAAUCUUGAGUUAAUUAUGAUUUCAUGAUUGUAAUUGUUAUUCCAUUUGAGUUACCAAAGGGCACGACACAUCCUUGUGGUCAAGAUUACCCGGUAUCUUGGUGGGAGCAAUUAUGAGUAUUAGAGUUAUGGAUUAACAAUAUAGAAUUUGUACAACACAUCUCUUGAUAGGUUUUCUAUACUUAUAGUCAAGAUUACCCGGUAUCUUAGUGGGAGCAAUUAUGAGUAUUGGAGUUAUAGAUUAACAAUAUAGAAUUUGUAUAACACAUCUCUUGAUGGGUUUUCGGCACUUGAUCAUAGAAUUCUCUUGCCAGAGUGUGUCAACAUAUUUAGUAUGUUGAAAAUGAUCAUUAGAGAAAACUAGUAAGUAUCAAGGAACGAGAUGUAAUUAAAUUGAUUGGAGAGUUGAGGUAUCGAUUUAAUUAAUGAUGUGGUACAAAGAAUUUUACAGUAAAGAAAUCAAUGUGGCUUGGGACAAAUUAUUAUUCGAACAUACAAUUAUGGAGGUCAGUUCCAAUCUUAUAGUGGAGUAGAGUUGGGAUUAAAUGAUUAGGCGUAUUUAAUUACAGGCUUAAUUGUUGUAGCCACUAUUGUAUGUUUCCAAAUGAUCCCCGGUUAGCUCUUUUAAUUGAUUGCACCACUACUGGAUUAAUAAGCAAGAUAACUAGCCAUUUGGGUCAAAAGCCUAAAUGUAUCAUUUAGUGGGAGGCUCCAUUUAAUAUGCUUGUAUGUAAGAGGCUUUAUGUUAUUUUACAAUAUGGGCCCCCUAUAGAAAAAGCAAGUAACAUGACUUUUGAUUUUCAUUAUUUGGAGACUAGGGUUUUCACUAAAGGGAGAUAUAAAAAGGCUUAUUUUCUCUAAAGAAAGAUAUAACAGUCACUUUAUACAGAUCAGAGAAAAAGAUUUUUUCCUCUAAUUUUGAGAGAAAAAAUUUUUCGUGCUAGUUGCUUUAGUGGUGAUAAAGGCACCCACACGUCAAAUGCAGAUCAAAUCUGAGUCAUAAGCUGGAAGAUCAUUGGUGACAGUUCGUGAUCUAACAAGCAUGGUGGUGACGGAUCGUGAUCUGGGAGCCUAAAUCACUUCAACGAAAACAGCCAAAUCGGAUUUUAAAGGUACAAUUUCUAGAUUACAAAUUCUUAGAUAUUGUAUGAGAGCGAUCUUAAAAGGUUUUAUAAAAAAUUUAAAAAAACUAUUUUUUUUCUCCAACAUUUAUAUGCCAUGUGAGGAUUUUAUAAUGAAAUUGCAAUCUUUCCUCUGUCUUUAAAAAUCGGAAUCGCGAUUUUUGGGCAUGUAAAAUAAAAUAUAUGAAUUUUUGAAAUUCUAUCUUCAAAUAUGGAAUUUUCUUGACAGGUUAGAUGUUCUCAGAAAUAAAACACUUUUAAAAUAGUUUCAGGAGUCCAAAAAUUAUAAAUUUUAAUUAUAUGCUUUCUGAAUGUGUUUUCUAUAAUUAGAAAAAAGAAACAGAUUAUUUCGAGUACUAGAAAAUAUUUUAUGAAUUUCCUAAGUGGUAAAGGUUUGUUUUGGUCGAUGCUGGGUAGUUUUGUUACUUUGGUAAAAGGUCAAUAUUCUGACUUGAUUUUCACUUGUGCUGAUUUUUGUGAAAUUUUGUAUGCAAUGCUAUGCAUGUUUACAAUACCUCUAUAAAUUUUCAUGGUUUUCCGACAUGUGUAUAGGUUAUUAAAAAUCAGCAUGUGCAAGAUACUCAUGUUAUGUCUAGAAUAUGUAUAAGUAUUGAGCUAGUAUAAGUGCCUAUGAUUUAAGGAUGAUUGGGAUUAUGUUUAAGGUUGGAGAUAAUAUUGAUAAGGAUAUUUUUAUGAUGAUUAUAGGCGUGGGUGAGCUCAUUGGUUUGUUCUUAAGGUGUUGAGUUGAUUGUUGCGGAUCGAGGUAAGUAUAUUCAUGCUUGAUGUGCUUUAUAAUAAAUGCAAUUUAUGUUAUAAGAAUUAUGUUUAAAUGAAAAUUUUUACAAAACUGAUUUCUAAAAUAUUUAAAUGAAUUUGUAAAAAUGUAUUUUAAAAUGAAUUUUUCUUAAGAAACUAGUUUUCUUAAACAAAAUGUUUUCUUAAAGAAUUUUCUAAAAGAAUUAAAUGAUCAAAGAAAGGUUCUUAAAUCUUUUAGAAGACUUUAAAUGCUAUUUAGGAAAUGAUGUAAGGUGGAUUAAAAAAUGUUUUGGCUCAUAAUCUGUAGUAAUGUACACGAUGCUAAUGUUAUGAUAUUAUGUAAUAUUAUGGUCAGCUUGCUGGUAUAAUGAUGCUCUUGUGCACAAUGAUGUUAUGAACAAUGCGGGGUAUAAUACCUUGAACAAGGAACAAUACGGGGUAUAGUACCCUAAAUGAUGAAUGAUGAUGAUUACGAGGUAUGAGCUAUCAAAUAUUUAUGUUUUAAUAUUUUUACGAAUGUUUUAAUAUUUUUCAUGCUUUUACAUGAAUCAAUCCCUUUUGCUAAAUGAAGAUGUUAUUGUAAGACGAUAUAAAAUGUUUACAGGUAUAAUGACAAAGGUUUUCAAAUAUUGUGCAUGGAUUUGCUUACCGAGUUGACGGCUCACCCCUAAUCUUCAAUAUUUUGUAGAUUAAUUAGAUAUGUGGCUUGGGUACUUAGAUGGAGAUUUUUUUUUUGUGGAUCUUUGGAGUUGCUUUAAAGAUUAAAUUUGGCUAGAGUUUUUAUUUUGGAUCAGACUUUUCUUUAGAGACUUUAUUUCAGAUGUUUUGUGUAAGAAUUUGGUUAAACUAUGAAAAAUGAUUGUCUAUCUUGAGAUUUAUUAAUAAGAAUAAAUGAUGUGAGAUUUCAUUCCAAUUUUACCCUUGCGCUUUCAUGGGUAGAUUUUUGGGGUGUUACAUUCUAUCAUAACCCAACCCAAACCUGAUAAGAUAUUGUCUACUUUGGGCCUUAAUAAGGCCCGCACUGUUUUGUUCAUGGGGCGCUCAUACACCCCAAAAAUGUGUCUUGCCAAUUAAAGUGUGGAUCACCCCUUAUAAACCCUAAGGUGUUACAUACACCCCCCCUUAGAGACUCAGCGUCCUCAUUGAGAUUUGCCCCAUCAUCGCUCAAGAGGACACACUUUUAAUAUGUUCUAAUUUCUAAAUAUAUUCCAUCUAAUAAUAUUAUUCAAAUUCCUUACAGUUCAAUUUUGUUGUAUCAAAGUUAUCUUCAGGGGAUGCUUGAUUGAGUGAUUUUUAAGUAGUUUUAUUCGACUAGUUGUUCAAAUGAGUCCUCAAAGAAAUAAGAACUAAAAAAUUAAUUUAACCUUUUGCCACUCUCCCAAACUUAAAAUAAUAAUAAUAAUAAUUGUACCAAAGUCAAUUGUCCUAUGGAGAUAAAGGGCUUGGUGGUAAAAAUCAGGAGAUUAGGGAGAUGGGGUGGAGGUGGGGAGACCUACCAAUUUCCUAUAUAAUUAAAAAUUUCAUCUCCAAUCCUUACAACUCAUAUUAUAUGAGAUUAUUUAUUAAUAUAUUUACAAUCAGACAAUUACUGGGACAAGAGUUCAUAUUUUUAUCUUCUCAAAUAUUCGAUAGAUAUCUACUUCACUCUCAUUUCGAGAGAGAGAGAAGACUGCUUUUACACAAUUAUCUUCAUAAUUGGGAAGGAAAUUUUAGCGGCUUGAACCGUUGCCCUCACAAGUGUAAGGGCAGCAACUCUUUGGUCGAGUGGCCACCUAAUUUCUUAUUUACUUAUUUUAUAAUAGGUAUGAAUACAUAAUUUUUUUAAAAAAAUAGUGAUUUAAAUAAAAUUAUUACCAUAUUAUAAAGUAUUUAAAUUAUUAAAAAAUUUCAAAAGUUUGAAAUAAUAUCUUAAAAUGAUAUCAAAACUGUAAAAUGUUUGGGUAAAUAAAAACUAAAAGGAUAAAACUGUAUAGUAAUGUUUCAACUCUUUUAUUAUUUGCUUCAUCUUCUCUUUAUUAUAUUCAUAUAUAUCCUAUGAUUGACACUUUAAUCCUACAAUAUCAAAUAAUAAAAUUAAUAAUUAUUACUUCACUACAAAUAUUUUUAAGAAAAUGUUUUAUCAUACGUUAUUUAUAAAACACUUGUAAUAAAGAAUUAUAUUGUAAAAUUUUUUUUUAUAGUUAUAGCCUAUUUAUAUUUGACAAAAAUAAAAAUAAAAAUUUAUUAGUCGACAUCGUAAUUGAUAAAAUAAAAAUUAAAAAAAAUUUACUUAUAGUGGAGAUUGAGGUGGGAGUGGGAUAAAGAGUACAAAAUCAAAUUCCACCCUAUUUAAAAAUUAUUAUUUUUUCACUUUAUUUUUCAUUAAUUAUUCAAAAUUCGCUCUUACGGAUAGGUACCAGGUCGGUUCUGUUUGGUUCAGUAUUGGAAAAAAUUAAAAAUUUUGGUUCAGUGCAGAAUUUUGUAAAAAACCGAAAUAAAUCUAAAUAAAUUAAGAAUCGAACUGGAACCGAUCGACUUGACUUGGUUCGGUUCGGUUGCGAUUUGGUAUUUCAAUUUCGGUUCCUGUUCGGUUUCGGUUCAAAAUAUCGGUUUUUCAUCACCUGUACAAAUUUAACUACUUUGUUUCCUUAGAAAACUAUCAGUACAAAUGCAAAUAUACAAAUUGCAAUCUAUAAUUUCAUCAAUAAUAUUACCAAACCAAAUCAUUCACUACCAUCACAAUCAAUUGAAAAUAAAAAGAGUUGUGACACUCAUUAGCUUUUAACUUCAAAUAAAUGUUAUAGAUUUCUAAAAAGCAUUUAUGAUAUCGAAAAUGAUUAUGCAAGUUAAUUUGACAAAAAGAAAAGAAAAGGAGUACAAGUAGUAAAGAAAAUUGAGGCUGUAUUAUUACUACUUACUCUCUUUCAUUCAUAAAUCAUAAAGAAAGACUUGAGCUGGGAUUUGUUUCUUCUUCAAUCAAAACAAACCCAGCUCCCUGAGCUUCCGCUCUCACCACCACCAUGCGCCUUGGCAGCGGUGGUUGCUAGAUCUUGAAGCUAGAAGGAAGUGGCACUGGCAGCAGUGAAGGUAGCAAUGGGUGCUAGAUCGUGAAGCCAGAAGGAAGCAAAGAGCCAUCAGCAGGCAACAGCAAACCCAAAAAUGAAGCGACGACAAAACCAAAGCCAGAAGGAAGCGGCAGUAACAGCAAAGCCAAAAGGAAGCGGCAGCAAAGCAAAAAGGCAGCGGCAGUAGCAAAGGUUUUGUUAUCAGCAGCCGGCAGCAAUUUGGCAGAUUUUGGGUAAAAAUUAGUCAUAAUCGGCGGUAAUGUGUGUGUGUGUGUGUGUGUAUGUGUGUGUUUGUGUUAAGGAUGGCAAUGGAUCGGAUUGUUUGGUUCAAAAUUGUGUGUGUGUGUGAUUUUUACCAAACAAUUUGGCAGAUUUCUGGUUCAAAAUUGCAGAACUAGAAUUGAACCAAACAAUUGUCCAUGUGAUUCGAAUUUAAUUGGAUCGAAUUUGGAUCGGAUUAAAAUUGAUUUGGAUCGGAUUUGGAUAUCGAUACAUGAAUUUAAGGCGGAUCUAGAGCAAAUUCGAAUUUAUCUUAAUAUUUAGAUCUAAAUUUAUGUCCACUCACCAUUUAAUGUAAUUUUAUUUUAAAAAAUUCUUAACAAUUAUGUAAUUAUAAAUGAUGAUAAAAUUUAUUAAUUAGCAUAUAUUUAAAAAUAUUAAAAUUUAAAGGUACUUAAUUGAUAAUAAGACAAAAAUUUAUUAAGUGUAAAAUAAAAUUAAGAUAGCCUGCUCUCAUUUUUUUAAGUUUUUCACUGUACAAUUUAGUCUCUUUUUUUCUGUUUAGUAUACUCUAACUUCUCCACUUCAUUUGAAUGCUUGAAUAAGUUCUUUAAUUGUUAGGAAAAUCCAUAGAUUUGAGUUUAUUUUCUAUCAUUUUCUCAUAAUCUUAUUUAUUUUGUAUAAUCACUAAUCAAUGGUGGCUAUCAACUAUAAAAUAAUUAUGUUAAUCAUAUAUUUAGUUAAUAUAUGAUCAUAAUAAAAAUAAUAAAGCACUAAAAAUAAUAAAUCAUUUUAAACUUAUAUAUUAUUAUUUAAUAAUAUUAGAAUGAUGAUGGUGUGCAGUGGAUAUCAAAAUGGUAAAGGAGGCAUUAGAAUAUUAUAAUGAUCUUAUUCUUGCAAUUACUUUUGAUCGAUAUUUUAUUAUCUUUCUUAUUUGUAUAUUUUGGUGUAAAAGUAGAAGUUACAAUACUUAUUAGAUUUUUUAUACAAAAUAUAUAAUUUAAUUGUUACCAAUGCAUUUUAGUCUUAAAUUUUCUUUUUAAAAAAAUAUUGAUCUUUUAUUAUUGAGAUUUAGAAUUCAUGAUGGAUCUAGAGCAAAUUUGAAUUUGAAUUUUUCUUUUUGGAUUUGGAGCAGAUAUAGAUCUUUAUUUUUUGUUUCGGAUCUAGAUAUGGAGCGAAAAAUAUAAAUCCAUGACGGAUCUGGAGCAGAUACGAAUCUUAAUUUUUAUUACGGAUCUGGAUAUAGAGCAAUAUAGAUUCAAUCCAUACCUGCUCCAUUGCCAUCCCUAGUUUGUGUGUCUGUCUCUGUGUGUGUAUUAUUUCAAAAUUACCAUUGGAUUUCAGUUUGAUUCUAGUUUUACAAUUUUGUACUGCUGGAUGUGUGUAUUAUUUCAAAAUUUCAAAAUUGCCAUUGGAUUUUGGUUCAAUUCUAGUUCUGCAAUUUUGAACCAGAAACCCAACCGAACUAUUCGGUUCGGUGGCGGAUCAAAGCUAUUCGAUUUUUUUAUUAAAGAAUAUUGAAACUGUAAAAAAUCGAACCGAACUGAUUUUUCGAAUCGAUUUUUUGAGUUUAGGUUCGGUUCUGCCCACCACUUUAUCACUCCACUCGGUCUCAUAGGCCAUUCCCGAUUUUGCCAUGGGGAUUGUUUUUUAUUGGGAAAAUAUCCACCGUCCACCUAAUUUUGUCCACUUUUUCAAAAAUACACAAAUCUUAAUUUUUUUUAUUGUACUCCACCUAAAAUAAGGUUUUCUUGCAUUCAUCCACUUCCGUUUGCACACGGUUAAGAGAACUAACGGAAAAUUGAUCAAAUGACUAUUUUACCCUAAAUAUAAAAUUAUAAUUUUACCCUAAAUAAAUGCAAAAAAAAAAAAGUGGCUGGCCGAAACCUUAUCCCAAACCUUAUCUUCAGGCUCGAGCUGCUGGUGGCACGAUCAUCGAUUGAGAUCAAGCUAUUGGUGGCAAAGAAACUGAAGGAGAUUGGUGAGAGGUUGGGUACGUAGUGAAGAAAGAAAAAGGAAAUAUUGUUGGGCUAGGGAAUCUGGGAAAAUGGUGUUGCCUAUUGAAGUUUCGAUGGAGAUUGCUACUGAAAUGUUUAUGGUGGAGUGAAAGCGGUGGAUAAUAAUGGCUGCGGGGCUUGCUGUCAGAGUUUGAGGAGGGUGAUUGGGAGGAGUUGCAAAUGGUUUUGGGGAUAUUGCUCUUUCUUGGCAUGGUAAUGAUGUGAUGUAAUGUGAAGAAAAUGGAUAAACCAGGUAGCCCAUGAAAUAUGGGUGUGUGAAAAUCAAGCUGUUACCCGGUGGGAGGGUGACAUUAUGGACUUCAAGCAGCACCUGAAGGCGACGGUCUUGGUUUUAACAAGACUAUGCAAGCUAAGAAAACGCGUGAUUUCUUUGGUGGUUGGAGAAUGAGGAUUGCAUUGGCGCGUGCACUCUUUAUUAACCCAACCAUUCUGUUGCUCGAUUAGCCCACAAAUCAUCUAGAUCUAGAAGCUUGCGUUUGGCUGGAAGAGACCUUGAAGAAAUUUGACCGCAUCUUGGUGGUGAUUUCACACUCCUAGGAUUUUCUAAAUGGAGUUUGCACAAACAUCAUUCACAUGCAAAACAAGAAAUUGAAGUUCUAUACCGGUAAUUUUGAUCAGUAUGUUCAGACUCGUUCUGAAUUGGAAGAGAACCAGAUGAAACAAAGAAUUUAAUUGUGCUGAAACAAAGCAUUUUGAGAGGUAGGAAGAAGGGUCAAAUGACAAAUUUAUCCCUAUGACAUCAACGAGAUUUUAACAGCGUGAACACGGGAGUGGGUGAGUGUAAGAAAACCUUACUUUAGGUGGAGUGCAGCCAAAAAAAUUAAGAUUUGUGUAUUUUUUAAAAAGUAGACAAAAUCAGAUGGACGGUGGAUAUUUUUCCUUUUUUUAUUUUCAACCCACCGACCACCUGAUUUUUCGCACUUUAUUAAAAAUACACAAAUUUUUUUUUUUUUUUUUGCAACAAUCUACUUAAAAUUUACAAAGUUAUCAUCGUUCCACUUCCGUCGUAACUUCGUUAGAAUAUUGCUGACAUCAAAGGGUUAAAAUUGUCAUUUGAAGUAAACACACUAAAACGAUGACGGAUUCCUCUUGCAAAAACGGCCACCAACUGCUGGGGCGUUGCUAGUACCCCAAAUGCACAGAUCGAAAAAAAAAAUAGAGAUAAAAACACAAAACAUACUCAAAUCAAAAUUUCAAGAACCCAAAUCAUGUCAUGGAUAAUAUUUGAAGGAUUACUGUCGUUGGGCAUCAUAACAGCAAUGCUAACAAUUGCCGACAAUGCGCAGUAUCACAUCCACAAAGCCGCUCACGGAUGCUCGAAGCACGUCGGCAAUGAUGUGUGGUACGUCGCGAUGGAGAGAAGGGACAAGAAGAUUGUGGAAUAGCUCUUUAAUGCUUCCUCCAAUUAGAUGUUGUCUUGCCUUUCCAGAAGCUUUGCUUAUGAAGAUUCAAGCAGAUGCAAUAUGUUCAUUUUCUUAUCUUUUGUACGUGAAUCUAUUUAAGCCUUUAAAUUGUUUUUUGGAAAAACAAAAACUUUGUCCAAUCAUGAAUUUAGGAAAUUGAUUAAGGCUAAUGAGUUUAGUGAAGAGGGCGCAACAGCGGCUGCAAACAAUCUAGGCGGGGAAGAAGGAGGUGUUCUUCUUAAUAUUUGUUAUCUAAUUUAUUUAUUUUAAGAUUUUUUAUAAUUAUUUAGUUUUAAGAUUUUUUUAUAAUUAUUUAUUUUUAUAUGCAACUUCUAUUAUCAAAUUUAUUUAUUAUUAUUUUUAAGAUUUUUAUUUGAUAGUUAUUUAUUAUUUUUAAGAUUUUUUUAUAAUUACCCCUUUGCAACUAAAAGUUUUUUAUGGAUAAAAUAGUCAUUUGAUGAGUAUUCUAUUAAAUACUCUGACAGUAUUAUAACAUGAGUGGAGUGGUGAUACACCUUAUAAACUUCGGGUGGAUUGUUGCAAAAAAAAAAAGAUUAUGUAUUUUUGAUAAAGUACAAAAAAUCAGGUGAUCGGUGUAUAUUUUUCCUUGUUUUUAAGAAAGUGAAAUGCUGCGUUUAAUUCGUGGUCUCCCAUUUUCUCUCUGCAACGGCAACCGUGUUAUUAAACUCCGAUGACUAUGAGACCAGCAACUGAUUUGGCGACUCGGAUCAGCCAAGCAAUAAUCUCCGCUUCGAAUCGCACAAGGCCAGCACGGAAAUGGACCCCAUUACUGGAACAAACUCUCCACCAACUCGGUCUCCGUGACUCACUGAGUCCAUCGCUUGUGGCCCGAGUCAUCAACCCGUAUCUCUUAACACACCACUCCCUCGCUCUUGGCUUCUUCAACUGGGCCUCCCAACAACCCAACUUCACUCACUCCCCGCUCUCUUAUCACUCAAUCCUCAAAUCUCUUUCUCUUUCCCGCCAAAUCAACGCAAUUGACUCCGUCUUAAAGCAAGUCAAAGUUAAUAAAAUAACUCUAGAUUCUUCAGUUUAUCGGUUUAUAAUUCCUUCACUGAUCCAAGGAAAGAAUACCCAGAAAGCUUUUUCAGUUUUCAAUGAAGUUAAGUUCAACUGUGAAGACAUUGGGCCUGAGAUAUGCAACUCUCUGUUGGCUGUAUUAGCUUCUGAUGGAUACAUUGAUAAUGCUUUGAAGAUGUUCGAUGAAAUGUCUCAUAGAGGUGUCGAGUUCAGUACCAUUGGUUUUGGUGUGUUUAUUUGGAAGUUCUGUGAAAAUGCUAAACUGGGUCAAGUUUUAAGCAUGUUGGACGAGGUUAGAAAGAGAGAGAAUUCAAUGAUUAAUGGGUCGGUAAUUGCGGUUUUGAUAAUUCAUGGGUUUUGCAAGGGUAAAAGAGUAGAAGAGGCUUUUAAGGUAUUAGAUGAGUUGAGGAUAAGAGAGUGUAAACCUGACUUCAUUGCUUAUAGAAUUGUAGCUGAAGAGUUUAAACUAAUGGGAUCUGUGUUUGAAAGAGAAGUAGUCUUGAAGAAGAAAAGAAAGCUAGGGGUUGCUCCAAGAACUAAUGACUAUAGAGAGUUUAUUUUAGGUUUGAUUGUGGAGAGACGAAUAUGUGAAGCAAAAGAACUGGGCGAAGUGAUUGUUAGUGGGAAGUUUACCAUUGAUGAUGAUGUUUUAAAUGCCUUGAUAGGUUCGGUAUCGAGCAUUGAUCCUAGGUCUGCUAUUGUGUUUUUUAAUUUUAUGAUUGAGAAAGGGAGAGUUCCGACAUUAUCGACAUUGAGUAACUUGAGUAAGAAUUUAUGUAAGCGUAACAAGAGUGAUGAAUUGGUAGAGGUUUAUAAGGUUCUGUCUGCUAAUGAUUAUUUCACUGAUAUGGAGAGUUACAAUGUGAUGGUUUCAUUCUUGUGCACUUCAGGGAGACUAAGAGAAGCAUAUGGGGUUAUUCAGGAGAUGAAGAGGAAAGGAUUAGAUCCAGAUGUUUCUUUUUAUAAUUCUCUCAUGGAAGCAUGCUGUAGAGAAGAUUUGCUGCGUCCUGCUAAAAAGUUGUGGGAUCAGAUGUUUGCUAGUGGCUGCAGUGGAAAUCUGAAGACGUACAAUAUACUUAUUAGCAAGUUUUCAGAAGUUGGUGAAAUUGAAGGCGCUUUGAGGCUCUUCCACAAUAUGUUGGAGAAAGGAGUGGCGCCUGAUGCUACAACUUACACAUCCCUUCUUGAAGGGCUUUGUCAAGAAACAAAUCUUCAAGCUGCUUUUGAAGUCUUUAACAAGUCUGUUAAUCAGGAUGUCAUGCUCGCACGUAGCAUUUUGAGCACAUUCAUGAUUUCUCUCUGUAGAAGAGGUAUCAAUUCAACUUUCUCUUAUGUUUUGUUUCCUUAUGAGAAGCUAUUUACAUGCUUCAAUUAAGCUUCAUGCAGGUCAUUUUCUCGUUGCUACUAAGUUGCUCCAUGGUCUCAGUUCUGAUUUAGGACAUUCAGACUCCCAUGUUAUCUUGCUGAAAUCUUUAGCUGAUGCCAGAGAGGUUGAAAUGGCCAUUGAACAUAUAAAAUGGAUUCAGGAGAGCUCACCUACAAUGUUACAAGAAAUUUCUGAAGAAUUAUUUGCAUCACUUUCGUCUUCUUCAUACCCAGAGCCUAUUCUUCUGCUGCUUCAUGCAUUGCAGGAAAAAUGCCUAGAUUCUGAAAUUGGUGCUGGUAAGGGAUGCAGCAGAUCAUAACCUGGGUGGUAGUCGGGUAUCCUAGUGGCAGGAUGAGUAAUGCUCCCAAGUCAGUGACUAUGUUUUAUGUUUUAGUAUCUGGCUCAUUGGUGCAACUAAAAACAGUAACCAAAAUGCAGAUUUUUCUGCAGUGACGGUGUACAAUAUGUGGAAAUUAAGUCUAUUAAUUGUCUUCUCACUUCUAAGGGACUCCUUCCUACACAAGGCUAUUAAUUGUCGUCCUCCUUUACAUGACUGUGACUUCCUACAUUCUGUCUGUUGUUGCACCACCAAUAUUGUGGUAUUGCCCAUAAAAUCUGCUGAAGCUAACACAUCACCUAUCAUUCCCAACUCUCUGAACUCAUUCCAAAAUGUCAGCCCUGACCUGAUUGGUGAUAGAUUGUCAUGAUUCUUUCCCACCAUUGCAAGUUCAUAAUUGUUCUCCAUGGAUUUGAUCUCAGCCACAGCCCCUACACAAUCCACAGCCACCCUCUCUGUAUAUUACACGAUAGUUUCCUUCUUUUAGAUAUGGUAUUAAACAGGACAACUGAGACCAGGCUGUGACUGCUUUGCUCAGAGAAUCUGAAGAUACUGACCAAGUGUUCAAAUAUAGAGGGACUUUGGUCUGUGAAAAGUGAGUUUGCACGUCCGGCAAGCACAAUGAAGUGGAGGAUAUAGAUGGUAAUAGGGCUUUGAUGGGUGGGACUUAAAAAGUAUUGAGGACAUUGAUGGCAAUAGGAAUAUCCUCUUGGUCGUCUAUGCAAAACUAGUAGCCGAGGUGAUGAGUCAGGCUUGGAAUGAAUUACAGGCCUUCUCGUGUAAACUACAUGCCUCCUUGAAGGAUCAUGGAGAUGUCCUAUGAAGGGUGUGAUGGCACCAGUUACAAGCAGCAGCGUGAAAGCGCACAUGAAAAGAGUCGUUAUCUACUGCCAGCAAUAAUAAUAGGAAACCAAGUUUUCAGACUUUUAGAUAAUUGUCAUUCUUCAAUACCUGUAGCCGUCCGUCUAUAUUACAUAAUUACGGUAGCAAGAGAUGGACAAUUAUUCAGAAGUACAAAGAUGAAAAUAUAAUGAAAAUAAGAGCUCCCGAUUUAACGCGUAAGCCCAUGGCGUGACUGCAUAAACCUUCCACCAAGAAUGCUAUAACUAUUAUUAUUGUAUUUUGUACAUUCAGGAUUGAUGCAGUAGAAUCGAAGCUGCUAUCACAACGAAACUGCGGAAGAAACUUACCACGAAGAAGAUAAAGCAGAGUUUAUGAUUAGACGAGCUCAUUGAGGGAGUAAGCUAAUAUUGGGAAGGAGAGCAUGGAUUCUACUUGCGCUAACCUUCAUGAAGACUUAAAAGAACAGCCGAUGUUUGGCAACCAUUGGUACCGCGAAGCAUCUGCUAUUUCGUCCAUUUUCUGAAUUAUCCACGAAUCAAUUUGCAAUCCAAUAUGAAAGAAGUAAAGCAUGAAUCCUAGAGAAGCAGAAAUAUUUAUCUUGGGGGUGGAAACAAGUUUGUACAUUCAGGAAUCUGUCCUAGGAGUGCCCACCCAACCUUGGGUUUACCAAAAACAAAAAAUAAAAGUAAAAAAAAAAUGAAACAAUUAUUUCUUUUAUUAGUAUAUGCAACUCUACAAAAGAAUUUUGAAUUUUCUCUAUCCCAUCUACACAAGCUAGACCUCAUUUACGUUUUACUGUAUACAUUGAGAAUGGCAAGGCAGUGUAGAAAACAAAAUCAGCUACCGCAUCUCCAAACAAAAAAGAAUGCAAAAACAACGAAAAUCUAGAUACUUGAACUAUUCAACUGUACAGAAUCCUUCUAUACAAAGAAUGCAGAAAAUCACAAUGCAAUAUAUGUACAUCUUGUAGCUGGUCAAUCUUCAAGGCGCUGAAUUUCACCCAUCAUGAUCCGGUUGCUAGAAACUUUAAAUCCAAGGAGAGCGGGAUCUAUCUGCCUUCCUUUCUUUCCUUUCUUUUUGCCACCCCGCCCACUUGGUGCACCAUCAGAUGACUCAAAAGCAGCCCCAUUUGAUGGAUCUGCUUCUGGAUGAACUGGUUUCUUAAGCAUGUCUAUGAAUGAUGUCUCCGAGACUGCUGCAUCACUGAAAGAUGAGGUCCUCCUAAAUCGCAGAUCUUUCUUGCCAGUUUCAGAGACUCUGGCUCCUACUGGAUUAUUAACAGAUUCCCGCUUUCCUUCUGAAAGUUACCACAGCCAUAAAUGAACUAAUAGUCCAUAACCAAAAAAAUUAAAAGCAGAGUGACUGAAACACAUUUUAUACCAUCAGAUGCAAGGGAAGCUGAACUUUUCUGCUUGACAAUUGGAGCAGCAGUUGGCUCAUCCUGGGAAGAUGAAGCAACUCUUGUUACAGUUGGGCGUUUGUUCCAAUCAUUGUCAAGCCCUUUGGGUAACAUGGUGGGUAGCCUGUCAACAAAAAAUGACUUCUUUAUCAACAUGGCUAAGGGAGUGAACAGUUGCAAAACAUAGCACUAGCCACUAGCUACUCCAAAAUCACUGAGCAAAACUAUUCCAACAAUAGUGAACAGCAGCUCUUUUUUUUUUUUUUUAAUGAAAAACGGUGAUUUACACAGUACAAAUACAUCCGCCCUGCUGUACCGUACAUCCCCUUGGCCGUACAGCAGAGAAGGAAGCAAAGAGCCAUCAGCAGGCAACAGCAAACCCAAAAAUGAAGCGACGACAAAACCAAAGCCAGAAGGAAGCGGCAGUAACAGCAAAGCCAAAAGGAAGCGGCAGCAAAGCAAAAAGGCAGCGGCAGUAGCAAAGGUUUUGUUAUCAGCAGCCGGCAGCAAUUUGGCAGAUUUUGGGUAAAAAUUAGUCAUAAUCGGCGGUAAUGUGUGUGUGUGUGUGUGUGUAUGUGUGUGUUUGUGUUAAGGAUGGCAAUGGAUCGGAUUGUUUGGUUCAAAAUUGUGUGUGUGUGUGAUUUUUACCAAACAAUUUGGCAGAUUUCUGGUUCAAAAUUGCAGAACUAGAAUUGAACCAAACAAUUGUCCAUGUGAUUCGAAUUUAAUUGGAUCGAAUUUGGAUCGGAUUAAAAUUGAUUUGGAUCGGAUUUGGAUAUCGAUACAUGAAUUUAAGGCGGAUCUAGAGCAAAUUCGAAUUUAUCUUAAUAUUUAGAUCUAAAUUUAUGUCCACUCACCAUUUAAUGUAAUUUUAUUUUAAAAAAUUCUUAACAA